rnacentral:rRNA from 1 species
CAAGGCCCUUCGGGGUACACGAGCGGUGAACGGGUGAGUAACACGUGGGUGAUCUGCCCUGUACUUCGGGAUAAGCCUGGGAAACUGGGUCUAAUACCGGAUAUGACCUGAGGUUGCAUGACUUCGGGUGGAAAGAUUUAUCGGUACAGGAUGGGCCCGCGGCCUAUCAGCUUGUUGGUGGGGUAAUGGCCUACCAAGGCGACGACGGGUAGCCGGCCUGAGAGGGCGACCGGCCACACUGGGACUGAGACACGGCCCAGACUCCUACGGGAGGCAGCAGUGGGGAAUAUUGCACAAUGGGCGGAAGCCUGAUGCACCGACGCCGCGUGCGGGAUGACGGCCUUCGGGUUGUAAACCGCUUUCGACAGGGACGAAGGGAAACUGACGGUACCUGUAGAAGAAGCACCGGCCAACUACGUGCCAGCAGCCGCGGUAAUACGU